UACGUAGGGGGCUAGCGUUGUCCGGAAUCAUUGGGCGUAAAGCGCGUGUAGGCGGUUCGGUAAGUCCGCUGUGAAAGUCGGGGGCUCAACCCUCGGAUGCCGGUGGAUACUGUCGGACUAGAGUGCGGAAGAGGCGAGUGGAAUUCCUGGUGUAGCGGUGAAAUGACGCAGAUAUCAGGAGGAACACCAAUUGCGAAGGCAGCUCGCUGGGACGUUACUGACGCUGAGACGCGAAAGCGUGGGGAGCAAACAGG
rnacentral:rRNA from 1 species